GAUGAACGCUGGCGGCGUGCCUAAUACAUGCAAGUCGAACGAACCUUCGUUAUCACCGAUUGUUUGCACUCACCGAUGGAGGGGUGAGUAGCGAACGGAUAAGUAACAUAUAAGAAACGUGCCACUAAGGGGAGGCUGAGACUAUACCGGAGGAUCUAUUACACCAUAAGGAUAAUAACCGCAAGACAGCUUUGUAAACAAUGACAGAUCUAUCCGCGCUGCAUUAGCUAGUUGGUAAGGUAACGGCUUACCAAGGAAAGGAUGCCUAGCCGACCUGAGAGGUUGAUCGGCCACACUGGAACUGAGACACGGUCCAAACUCCUACGGGAGGCAGCAGUAGGGAAUCUUCCGCAAUGGGCGAAAGCCUGAUGGAGCAACGCCGCGUGAGUGAAGAAGGUCUUCGGAUCGUAAAACUCUGUUGUUAGAGAAGAAAGUAUGUGUAAGUAACUGUGCACGUUUUGACGGUACCUAAUCAGAAAGCCACGGCUAACUACGUG
rnacentral:rRNA from 1 species